CGUGUAGGCGGCUAAGCAAGUCAGAGGUGAAAGCCCUGGGCUCAACCUGGGAACUGCCUUUGAAACUGCUUGGCUUGAGACCGGAAGAGGAUGGCGGAAUUCCCAGUGUAGAGGUGAAAUUCGUAGAUAUUGGGAAGAACACCGGUGGCGAAGGCGGCCAUCUGGUCCGGAUCUGACGCUGAGGCGCGAAAGCGUGGGGAGCAAACA
rnacentral:rRNA from 1 species